GAUGAGUUGCGAACGGGUGAGUAACGCGUAGGUAACCUGCCUGGUAGCGGGGGAUAACUAUUGGAAACGAUAGCUAAUACCGCAUAACAGUAGAUGUUGCAUGACAUUUGCUUAAAAGGUGCAAUUGCAUCACUACCAGAUGGACCUGCGUUGUAUUAGCUAGUUGGUGGGGUAACGGCUCACCAAGGCGACGAUACAUAGCCGACCUGAGAGGGUGAUCGGCCACACUGGGACUGAGACACGGCCCAGACUCCUACGGGAGGCAGCAGUAGGGAAUCUUCGGCAAUGGACGGAAGUCUGACCGAGCAACGCCGCGUGAGUGAAGAAGGUUUUCGGAUCGUAAAGCUCUGUUGUAAGAGAAGAACGAGUGUGAGAGUGGAAAGUCACACUGAGACG
rnacentral:rRNA from 1 species